rnacentral:misc_RNA from 1 species
GAUGAAGAACGCAGCGAAAUGCGAUACGUAAUGUGAAUUGCAGAAUUCAGUGAAUCAUCGAGUCUUUGAACGCACAUUGCGCCCCCUGGUAUUCCGGGGGGCAUGCCUGUUCGAGCGUCAUUUCAACCCCUCAAGCUUCGGCUUGGUGUUGGGCCGCGCCGCUGCACCAGCAGCUGGCGGGCCUCAAAAUCAGUGGCGGUGCCGUCUCGGCUCUAAGCGUAGUAACAUCUCUCGCUCUGGAGACCUGGCGGUGGCUUGCCAGACAACCCCCAACUUUCUUUAAGGUUUGACCUCGGAUCAGGUAGGGAUACCCGCUGAACUUAAGCAUAUCAUAAGCGGAGGA